rnacentral:rRNA from 1 species
ACUCCUACGGGAGGCAGCAGUGGGGAAUAUUGCACAAUGGGCGCAAGCCUGAUGCAGCCAUGCCGCGUGUAUGAAGAAGGCCUUCGGGUUGUAAAGUACUUUCAGCGGGGAGGAAGGCAAUACGGUUAAUAACCGUGUUGAUUGACGUUACCCGCAGAAGAAGCACCGGCUAACUCCGUGCCAGCAGCCGCGGUAAUACGGAGGGUGCAAGCGUUAAUCGGAAUUACUGGGCGUAAAGCGCACGCAGGCGGUCUGUCAAGUCGGAUGUGAAAUACCCGGGCUCAACCUGGGAACUGCAUUCGAAACUGGCAGGCUUGAGUCUUGUAGAGGGGGGUAGAAUUCCAGGUGUAGCGGUGAAAUGCGUAGAGAUCUGGAGGAAUACCGGUGGCGAAGGCGGCCCCCUGGACAAAGACUGACGCUCAGGUGCGAAAGCGUGGGGAGCAAACAGGAUUAGAUACCCCAGUAGUCCCAUGAU